rnacentral:lncRNA from 1 species
GGAAAAGACAAGUUUUAGGUCUCAGCCCCGGCCCGAAUUCUCUGUGGGCAACUUUCUGUUAUUGAUUACUUGAAUGCAAAAUUUUGUUUACAAAAUUUAAAAAUUCCAGUGUUCUCACCAAAUCUCCUAUACUUUCAUGUGUCCAAAAUAUUAUUUUAGGUGCUAAUUUAUAAUAUGUAUAAUACUAACUUCCAAAUAUGUAAAGUAACUGGCUUGUAGUGGCCAUGGAUUUUCUGUAUAGAAGCGGUAAUGUUCUAAGUAUCCUACCUAAAGCCAUAGAAUUAACAGUAGUUGCUUUUAAGAAGGCACAUUUCUAAUAAUGCUGAAAAGAUAUGUGCUUUUCAAAGAAAAAGUAGCUUUAAAGUGACAAAACAGGACCUUUUUUAUAUCAUUAAUGCCUUUUGUAGUUGUUUGUUUUUAAAUCUCUAGAAUUGAAGAGAUUGCUUUUAUCAAUGACAUGUGUUGUCAGAGUGAUUUGGAAAGCCACCUGGCCUAUUUGGACUUUAAACCCUGCACGUUGGCCUUGUUAACCUAAUGUUUUAAACAAUUAACCAGCCUCAACAUGUAUUAAAAUUGUGUUAUUCAGAAAGUGUAUUUCUCAUUUCUACAGAUUGAAAGACCAAAGUAAUUUAAAGCAUUGAAUUAAAUAUAAGAAAAAAAUAUUUAAAGUGUAGUAAAUACAAAUACAUGCCUUUGGAUAUUAAUUUAGUAUUUGAUAGUAAAAAAAUCAAAACAAACUUCUGAAUGAGUGCUGCUUUUGCCAUUGACCAGGUUAAUAAACUACAACCUUGGGAGUUCCUGUUGUGACGCAGCAGAAGUGAACCCAACUAGUAUCCAUGAGGACGGAGGUUCCAUCCCUGGGAUCGCUCAGUGAAUUAAGGAUGUGGGCAUUGUGGUGAGCUGUGGUAUAGGUUGCAGAUGUGGCUCAGAUCUGGCUGUAGCUAUGGCCAGCAGCUGCAGCUCCUAUUCAGUCCUUAGCCUGGGAACUUCCAUAUGCCUCAGGUUCGACCCUAAAAAGCAAGAAAAUAAUUAAAUAAACUACAACCUUGGUGGUACAGUAUCUAGACUAAAAUUGUUAAAUUUCUUUUCCCUUGGUGGUUUCCCUAUGGGGAUCAUUUAGAAUUUUUUUAGUAUGUGUAGGAACCUGAUUUUGUCUGUUUAUCCAGUUGUUCCAACACCUUCAGAGUGAUCCUCAAUCAUCAAACUUGAGAGGUUUAUUCAGUUUUAUUAGGGAGAAUAUUACUUUCUGUUCAUCAAGAUAUUUUUGUCCAUAUCCAGGUUAGUUGAUUGCAAGAUUCUUUGCAAAACAUUGCUAUUCAGAAAGUUGAUCUAAUUCUGGAAAUGGGAUUAGAGCAAAAGGAGUUGUAUAAUCUUGUAGAAUUUUUUACUCUAUUGCAUAAACUACUUUCCCUCUAGCAGGUACACUGUUCUAGAUGAUCUUGAGUUAACAGUAGCAAGUUUAUAUUUCCUUUGGUUUGAGUCCUUUCUAGUACUAAUCCAUGUAAACCAUCUUUUGGAUUUCAUUUGCUCUUUAAUGCAAGAAGAAAGGCAAUUUCUUUUGUCUGUUACAUGAAAGUCUUUUUUCCAGAAACAACCUAAUGAAGAGUUAUAUCCUUCUAAGUCAUAAUAUUGACCCAUAAUCCUAAAUCUCAAAAUAUCAAACUUUAAUUUUAGAGAAUGAUAGUUCAUAAACUUAUUUCCCUAUUUCUGCUGUUAGAUUGCACACUUUUUUUUUUUUUAAAUGGUUGUGUCUGUGGCAUAUGGAAGUUCCCAGGCCAGGGAUUGAAUCUGAGUUGCAGCUGCAACCUACACCACACCUGUCGCAAUGCUGUAAUAACACACUGCAACAGGCUGGGGAUCAAACCCUAGCCUCCACAAUGAACUGAACCACUGCAGUUGAUUCUUAACCCACUGCACCACAGUGGGAACUCUUGCAUACUCUUAAGAUAAAAUGAUAAAAAUGUUAUAGGCCAGUAAAGAAAAAAAUUGAAAUCUAUUUUUUGCCUGAAAUCCAUUUUUAUACACUAUAUUUUAACUUCCAUGCUAUGUUCAUUAUAUAGAUAACCAUAUUUAAUCUUCACACCAAGACCAUAUUAUAAAUCAAGAUAGGAGCUAAAAGAGGUUAACUUAAAUGCCCAAGGGCACACAGAAAAAUAAGUGAUAUGGAAGCAAAAAUCAUAUAGCUCCCUGCCUCCAGCCUAGCACAAUGCCUGGCAUGUGGUAAAUAUUCCAAAUGUUUAAAUAGAUGAAGCCAGGAUUAGAACCUUAAUCUGUGUUCUUUAUCUUAUUUUAAACAAAGCUAAAGACUUGAAAAGAUGUUUUUGAGUGUAGUAAUAUUGUUAUCACUCUAGAGUCUACAUCUAGGAAGGGAGGAAAAGAGAGGAAGGAACGGGAAAUUAAAUAAAUAAAUUCAAGACUCUCAUGAGCCAGCAGAUAAGAUGACUUCGUGUGUCUAUUGUUUUCUGUUAGUAUUGGUUGAGGACAAAUAUCUUGAUGCUCUCUUACAACUUCCCUUGAGCUGGUUGUGUAUUGAUUAUAUUAGACCAUAUUAAAUCUAAAUGCUGUUGUCUAUGUGCUGCUGCCCACUUAUUAAGGUUCUGACUCCAAUGGAAAAUGUGUAAGAUUUGGCUUUGAGUAAAUAAGGCUUUGCAUCUGUAUGGUGUCAUAUAGUAUACAAAGUUCUACAGUUAAAUCAUCUUACCAGACAGAACCUCUUAAUAUAACUGUGAGACAGGGUAAGGUGCUCUGAACUUCAAAUUUUAUUAAUCAAGGAGUUGAGACUCCAGGCAAUGAUUUAUUACUCUUAGGUGGUAAAGUCAACAAGGAUCUGGAUAUUUUCUAAUUUAAAUUCACUCCUCAAAUCUCUUUUAGGGAAGUAGACUGGUGAUUUGAAAACCAAUACUGAGUUUCAACAUUUAUUUAUUUAUUUAUUUAUUUAUUUAUUUUUAGGGCUGCACCCACAGCAUAUGGAAGUUCCGCGGCUAGGGGUCAAAUCAGAGCUGUAGCUGCAGGCCUAUGCUACAGCGUCAGCAACACCAGAUUUGAGCUGCAUCUAUGACCUACACUGCAGCUCACGGUAAUGCUGGAUCCUUAACCCACUGAGCAAGGCCAGGGAUGAAACCCACAUUCUCAUGGAUACUAAUCACAUUCAUUACCACUGAGCCAUAAUAGAAACACCCUGAAUUAAAUUUAAAAGGUAUGUAUCAUCAGUGUGUACUCAGGGAAUUGCACAUGGGAGAUACUAUAUUUGUCAAAUAUUAUUUAAAUUUGGAUUCUUAUCUAUUACUCUAACUUUUACCUAGUUAUUUCACUCUAUGAAUAGGUUUGUUCAUCUAUAAUAUAGAAAAAUUCACCUUUUUGAACUACUUAGCAUAAUUAAAAGAUAAAAUGAUAAUGCAUGUGAAAUUAAUGUAAAAAAUUAUAAAUAGGAUGAUUCAUCUCUUUUCUUUAAAUUAAUAAACAUAAAUACAUGUAAAAGAUGAUUCACACUGAAUUAUUAUUUAUGAAAAGUAACCAUAUACAAUAAGACUAAGAAGGAUAUUCAUCAUUAAGAUAUGAGCAUUAUAAUAUAUUCAAAAAUAAAAUGAGGGGUUUAAUAUUUGAAAUAAACUUUCAUUGGAUAAAUAAUACAGUAAUGACAUUAAAGGAAUACCUAUCACCUUGGCACUAUUUUCAUUUUUGUGUAUUCCUUUCCAUCUUUUGUUUGUAUGUCUGCUAUUUCCAUACUAUAAUAAAUAUACAAGCCAUUUCUAGAUUUUUUUCAAGUUUCUAUGUUUAGUCUUUUAAAAUAAGUAAAAAUAUGCACCUAUUAGAGAGUAAGUCCUCAAAAAAUGCUAGUUAAAUGUUUUUCCUACAUUUAAUGACAUGAAAAUAUUAAGAUCUUUUUCUUCUAUUAUGUUAACUUUUCUAAUGGUAUUUUGCUAUUGCAUUUCAGAAACAGUCAAAUGUAUUAAAUUUUCAAUAUUCUGUUCAAUUCAGUUGAUAUUUUGUUUAGAUUUUUUUUAUUCUGAGUUUAUGAGUGAUAUUGACCUAUAAUUUUUUUAUUCUUAUAUUCUUUGUUUGAAUUCAGUGUUACACUGGCCAUAUAGAAUGAGUUAGGGCCUAUUCCUCUUUUUCCUAUUGUCUGGAAGAGUUUUAUAAAAUUGGAAUGAACAAUUCCUUGAGCAUUUUAGGGGAUUAUUCUGUAAUAACAGUCUGAGCUUGAUUUUUUUUUUCAUUAGAUAACUACAAUUUCAUUUACUUAAUGGUUAUUUGAACAAAGUUUUUUCAUUUUUUUAUCACUAUAUUUUCUUACCUUUUUAUCACUGUAUUUUCUCACCUUUUUAUCACUAGUAUAUCUGCAGUUCUGUUUCAUUUUAACUCUUUUUUCCCCCUUUUUCUUUGCUUUUCUUUAUCUUUCUCCUCAGAUGUUAUCUAUUACAUAAUUUUACCCAGUGAACUAACAGUUUAGUAUAUCUUUUUUUCUAUUUAAAAAUUUUAUGGCUCUUAACUAUUUUCUUCUUUGCCCUAUUCUGCUGUUCUUUCCUCACUUCAUAAGCAAAGUCUUUUAGCUCAUUUGUAACUUUUCUUUUUUAUUGGGUAAGUAUUUAAAUUGUCCUCCAAAUUCUGCUGUCACAAGUCUCUUGUUUUGAUAUGUUAACAUUUUCAUUACUAUUCAGUUCUAAUUAUUUAUAGUUUAGUCUCCAUAAAUAUUUCUUAUUUCAUCUAUGGAUUAUUUAAAAUUAUUUUUUAAUUCCUCAGUGAGUAAAGAUUUAAAAAAUUCUCUUUUGGUUAUUCUUUUCCAAAUUAAUUUAUUUUUAAUAUAGUUUAUGAUACUGAAUUGUUGAUACUUAUUGAUACUUGGUUUAUUGUCCAAAUGGUCAAUUUUUAUAAAUGGGCUGCAUGAAUAUUCUUGAAAAGAAUGUUUUCUCUAAACUGGGGAAACAGAGUUCAUUUUUAAAAUUAACUUUGUAAACAUUCUUUUUCAAUUAUUCUGCAUAUUUUCUACUCUUUUCCUGUUCGUCCAGUCAGAUAAGUGAGGGAGAAGUGUUGAAAUUCCCCACUAUGGUCCUGGUUUGAGAAAUUUUAUUAUUUUUUUUAUGUAUUUUGAGUAAUUUUAUGCCAUACAAAUACAGCAUUGUUAUAUCAUCUCAAUAAAUUGAACCUUUUAUCUUACAG